rnacentral:rRNA from 1 species
ACACAUGCAGUCGAGCGGUAGCACAGAGAGCUUGCUCUCGGGUGACGAGCGGCGGACGGGUGAGUAAUGUCUGGGAAACUGCCUGAUGGAGGGGGAUAACUACUGGAAACGGUAGCUAAUACCGCAUAACGUCGCAAGACCAAAGUGGGGGACCUUCGGGCCUCAUGCCAUCAGAUGUGCCCAGAUGGGAUUAGCUAGUAGGUGGGGUAACGGCUCACCUAGGCGACGAUCCCUAGCUGGUCUGAGAGGAUGACCAGCCACACUGGAACUGAGACACGGUCCAGACUCCUACGGGAGGCAGCAGUGGGGAAUAUUGCACAAUGGGCGCAAGCCUGAUGCAGCCAUGCCGCGUGUGUGAAGAAGGCCUUCGGGUUGUAAAGCACUUUCAGCGGGGAGGAAGGCGGUAAGGUUAAUAACCUUGUCGAUUGACGUUACCCGCAGAAGAAGCACCGGCUAACUCCGUGCCAGCAGCCGCGGUAAUACGGAGGGUGCAAGCGUUAAUCGGAAUUACUGGGCGUAAAGCGCACGCAGGCGGUCUGUCAAGUCGGAUGUGAAAUCCCCGGGCUCAACCUGGGAACUGCAUUCGAAACUGGCAGGCUAGAGUCUUGUAGAGGGGGGUAGAAUUCCAGGUGUAGCGGUGAAAUGCGUAGAGAUCUGGAGGAAUACCGGUGGCGAAGGCGGCCCCCUGGACAAAGACUGACGCUCAGGUGCGAAAGCGUGGGGAGCAAACAGGAUUAGAUACCCUGGUAGUCCACGCCGUAAACGAUGUCGAUUUGGAGGUUGUGCCCUUGAGGCGUGGCUUCCGGAGCUAACGCGUUAAAUCGACCGCCUGGGGAGUACGGCCGCAAGGUUAAAACUCAAAUGAAUUGACGGGGGCCCGCACAAGCGGUGGAGCAUGUGGUUUAAUUCGAUGCAACGCGAAGAACCUUACCUGGUCUUGACAUCCACAGAACUUAGCAGAGAUGCUUUGGUGCCUUCGGGAACUGUGAGACAGGUGCUGCAUGGCUGUCGUCAGCUCGUGUUGUGAAAUGUUGGGUUAAGUCCCGCAACGAGCGCAACCCUUAUCCUUUGUUGCCAGCGGUUCGGCCGGGAACUCAAAGGAGACUGCCAGUGAUAAACUGGAGGAAGGUGGGGAUGACGUCAAGUCAUCAUGGCCCUUACGACCAGGGCUACACACGUGCUACAAUGGCAUAUACAAAGAGAAGCGACCUCGCGAGAGCAAGCGGACCUCAUAAAGUAUGUCGUAGUCCGGAUUGGAGUCUGCAACUCGACUCCAUGAAGUCGGAAUCGCUAGUAAUCGUAGAUCAGAAUGCUACGGUGAAUACGUUCCCGGGCCUUGUACACACCGCCCGUCACACCAUGGGAGUGGGUUGCAAAAGAAGUAGGUAGCUUAACCUUCGGGAGGGCGCU